UCAAUAGGAAAAGAGGGAAUCCUCCCUAACUUAUUUUAUGAGGCCAGCAUCAUCCUGAUACCAAAGCCUGGCAGAGAUACAACAAAUAAAGAGAAUUGUAGACCAAUAUCCCUGAUGAACAUUGAUGCAAAAAUCCUCAAUAAAAUACUGGCAUUAUACAUAUACACACACACACACACACACACACACACACACAUACAUAUAUAUAUAUACUGGCACUAUACAUAUAUACACAUAUAUAUACACACAUAUAUAGAAUAUAUGUAUAUGUGUAUAUAUAUACAUAUAUUAGAAUCAAAGGUAAUAAUGUAUAUGAAAAUUCUUGGCAAAAUAAGCAGUGCUAUAUAAAUAUUAAGGAUUAUUGUUAUUACUUAGAAUGAUUACUUAGUGCCAAAUAUGUUUUAGGUUUGGUGUCAAAUUACUUAUAUUCAUAAUCACCAAACUUCACAAUGCGUAUUAUUAUCCCAUUUUUAUUACUGAGUAUGCUCUGUUGAAAAAAUGAAGUUAAUUGCUUAAUAAAACAUAGAGCAAAUGUCUGGUGUUCCCAGGACAUAAAUCCAAGUCUGCUGAUUUCAAGGCUUAUCUGUUUCCUGCUACUUUUUUUUUGCCUGUCAUUAUAAAUCCCACACAGAUAAAUCUCUAUUGAUGCCAAUUUAUAUUAAGAGAUAAAAUGUGAAGAAAGUAAAAUGUAUAAAAGGAGACCUGAUAUGUAUGGUUUACCUCUAUAUUCCUAAGGCCUAGGGCAUUGCUUGACAGUAGGCACUCUAUAGUUGUUGAAUGAAUGUAAUAUUAAAUAGAGUAAAGUCAUACCGAAAUCCAUUAUCCAGAAACUUUUUAUUAUUAAGCGACUGAAAUCUACCAGAAAACCAAAGAUUGUGCUAAGUUGUAAUAAAUUUGAAAUCUGGAUAUUGUACUUCAUCCACCUAUUGUAGCUUCCCAGAAGGACAUUUGCAGGCAAAUAGAUAUGGCAUACUAGAUCCAUGGCACCAUUUAAUUUCUUCAAUUUAAAAAUGCCAGUGUUGACUAAUUUCGUGGAUUCAGGUGGCAAAGUAAUAUUCCUCUCACCUCCUAUCCUAUCCUGCUGCUUUCUCAGGCAUGGUACAGAUCAAAAGAAGAAAAUGGUUUGCUUAGGUGUUUUCUUUCCCUGUUGCUCCAGACACAUAAUGGCCAGCGAAAUGGAUCUGAAAUUGGAAGAUGUGUAGAGGUCGGGGGAAGUAUACCUAUUUAUUAACCCCAGUUUGUGUUCAUUAUCACUGAAGCUAAAAUGGAAAGCUCUUCUUGGAAGGUCAGAAAAUCAAAGCAAGGAAUCCCUUUCCUACCCACUCACAGAAAGCUGACAAUUUAAGAGUCCAGGUUUAUAAUUUGUCCUAUAUGUUGGUUUUUAGAACUUAACAACAACAACAAGGAAAAUCCCACUGUUACUGCCAGCUGACAUGGACUCUAUCUGUGUCUUUCUGAACAACCAGUCUCUCAAAUGUCAGUGACAAUUGAUACCUCCAUCAUAAACUUCCACUUCUUUAUCUUAAAAGCAAGUAAUUAAAAGCAGGCUGAUGAUUCCACCUCUAAAUUCCCUGGCCUGUCACAGGUGAAGUCAGCGUCGCCAGCCACCCUUCUCUUAUGCCUCUCCCCUCUACCCUGCUUCCUCACUUAGCCUCCUGGCCUAGCAGACGUUCUGAUUUUCCAGAGUGUUACUAUGUGCCUUUCAGAAUCAUUUGAUUAAUUUUUUGACAUUAGUCUACCAUCUACAGUGUGAACAACCCAUAGUAUACCUGGAGAAGAAUGUAGAAGAGAAAUUAAAUUGACAGAAGAUUCUCAUGAGGCUCUUUGGAGGAUACUGGUGAAGAUCACAGACUCUGGAACCAGAGUGCCUGGAUUUAAUGUCUGUUUCUAUUGCUUAAUGACUGUGUGACCUUGGAAAAAUCACUUGACCUCUCUGUGCUUCACUUCCUAUAUCUCUAAAAUGGAGAUUGUCAUCUGCUUUACUUUAAUGAAUCAAUAAACAGAUGUAAGGUACUUAGACUACUGCUUGGCACAUGGAUUUAGAAUGCUGACCUGCUUAUUUUCAUAUGGAAGACAAUAAGCUGAUUUCCUGUAGAUUGAGCUAACGGCCAUCUGUUAUGAUGGGACAAUGCUAAUUCAAAAAGUGUCAUUUGCCACUUUAUCUGAUGUCAGGAGGCAACACAUGAAAUCUGAGGACCUUUAAUAACUCACGACACCUUGCGUGUAAGAUCCCUGGGAAAGGCAACCCCAAAUUAGAAACACGUUUCACUGGAAGGGCACUCACUUACUGAUACCUUAGGGACUCCACUUUGAGGGAUGCCUUUAUCAUUCAUACCUUUCCAUGGCAUGAAUGGAAACCUGCUGCAAUGCUGCUUCUGUCCUAAUGCAUUUCAUGAGUCAGCACAUGACAAAGGGAAGGGACACCCAGGUCAGCCCCAUCAUUGUAUCUGAAACCAACACUUCGAACAUAAUUGGAAUGAUUACAUACUAUUCUACAUGUUGAGUGAUUAGCACAGCAACUGGUGCCCAGUUGGUUGCUAUUAUUUUUGUUGUUGUUGAUAUUAUGAUUAUGCUUAUUUUGUAUUAUUUAUUAAAUGAAUAUUCUUA